GCUAGGAAAGGAAGAGCGGAAGAGCCAGGGCUCUGCGAACAUACGCGGAUUGUGUAGCCUUUAUAUAUAUAUGGCUUCGCGUGGCAUUAUAUUGGUGUUACAUACGUAGUAUACCAGGACCAGUAAAGCUGCAAGACUUUGUCGGCCAGUCAAAAGUGGACGCUGCAAUCCAAGGUGAAACUUUCUUUCUCAUGGUGGGGAACACGCAUGAAGAUGUGGAUCAACCGUUUAGUGUAUUUGCAAGGGAACUUAGACAGAAGCCUGCAACAACCCGCGAUGCCCUCCUUCAAGAUUGGGGACAUCCGGACACCCACCACCAAGCUAUCAGACUUCAAGCCCUUCAUGCCUGCCCCAAGGGAAGCAACAACCCUCCCAACUAAAGUUCAAGAGGCAAUAGAGAAGAACAAUGAAAAACUGCAAAAACAAUCAAAGAUCACUCUGACAAAGCACCGAAGACAAGCGUCAGUAUCAGAACAAUAAAGAAGGAGCCGCAAGUUUUGCUGAAAUGAACAUAUUUUUUGUCUAAGCUAUGUGGCUGAGAUAUUGCCGAGGAUUGCAUUGCAGGAGUUUUGUACUUUGUAUGUUUUUGUUUCUUAGUAAAGCUGUGUAUUUAGAAUUGUAUAUAUAUAUACAUAUAUAAGAUGAGAUGUGCACAAUUAAAUUUAUGAAACAAUAUAUGCAGUUAUAUUGUAAAAUCUUGGUUGUGUUCUAUUUUUUUCCAUGUCUGAAGUUAAACUACUUUCAGAGUACCGUAUAUCACAUGUAGGUUGUUUCUUUGAAUUCCAACUGGGGAUUAUAUAUUUGGUUGGCCCCAUGGAAUAAUUAUGAAGUUUAUUUUUUGAGAAUCACAUUCACCUUUAAUGUUGUACACUUCAAAGUCGUCAAAAGGCCAUUGAAGAUGGUCACUGAAAUUCUCAUAAUAAUUUAGAUAAUUAUAGGGUAAGCUCAAGGUUCAAUGAUUUGCAUCUGUCUAGUAUACAAAGGUAUGAGGCCAACAUGUUGUUCCAUUGUUUAAUUCGAGUGACGUCAACUUUUCUUGAUAAAUUUGGUAAAUAUAAUACCAAGAUAAAUAUCUUCAAUUGCUGAAUUCAAUUUAAACUUUCCAAAGAUUGAUGGUUGAAAUUACUGCAGAAAAAAAUUCUGCCAGAAAUUUCUGUAGAAAAAAAUAAUUCUGCCAGAAAUUUCUGUAGAAAAAAAAAAUACUGCCAGAAAUUUCU
rnacentral:misc_RNA from 1 species